rnacentral:lncRNA from 1 species
CAUGCCUACUGUUUCUUCCUUACCUUCUGGAGAAAAUGAUGUUCUUUCUGAUUCUCCUUCCUCUAUCCAUCAACCUUCUCCUCCCACUUUGCCCUCUUCUUCUUCUGCUCCUGUUCUCAGAAAAUCUACCAGAACUCAUAAUCCUCCAUCCUAUCUUAAGGACUAUCUCUUCCAACUCCCAGCCUUCUCUGGCUCUUCUUCUUCCUCUUUGGAAACUGAAUCACUGUAUUACUCUUAGGUAGCUUCAGUUCCAGCUUGGCAGGAUGCCAUGAGAAAGGAGUUUAAGGCCUUGGACACCAA